UGGAGGCAGCAGUGGGGAAUAUUGGACAAUGGGCGCAAGCCUGAUCCAGCAAUGCCGCGUGUGUGAAGAAGGCCUGCGGGUUGUAAAGCACUUUUGUUCGGAAAGAAAUCGCACGGGCUAAUACCUUGUGUGGAUGACGGUACCGGAAGAAUAAGCACCGGCUAACUUCGUGCCAGCAGCCGCGGUAAUACGAAGGGUGCAAGCGUUAAUCGGACUUACUGGGCGUAAAGGGUGCGUAGGUGGUCUGUUAAGUCGGAUGUGAAAUCCCCGGGCUCAACCUGGGAAUGGCAUCCGAUACUGGCGGACUUGGAGUCUUGGAGAGGGUGGUGGAAUUCCUGGUGUAGCGGUGAAAUGCGUAGAGAUCAGGAGGAACACUAGUGGCGAAGGCGGCCACCUGGCCAAAGACUGACGCCGAGGCACGAAAGCGUGGGGAGCAAACAGGAUUAGAUACCCGAGU
rnacentral:rRNA from 1 species